rnacentral:rRNA from 1 species
CAAGGAAUAUUGGUCAAUGGACGCAAGUCUGAACCAGCCAUGCCGCGUGAAGGAUGAAGGUCCUCUGGAUUGUAAACUUCUUUUAUCUGGGACGAAAACGGGAUUUUUAUCUCAAUUGACGGUACCAGAGGAAUAAGCACCGGCUAACUCCGCGCCAGCAGCCGCGGUAAUACGGAGGGUGCGAGCGUUAUCCGGAUUUACUGGGCUUAAAGGGUGCGUAGGUGGGCUUAUAAGUCAGUGGUGAAAUCUCCGAGCUUAACUUGGAAACUGCCGUUGAUACUAUAGUUCUUGAAUUAUCUGGAGGUAAGCGGAAUAUGUCAUGUAGCGGUGAAAUGCUUAGAUAUGACAUAGAACACCAAUUGCGAAGGCAGCUUACUACAUAUAAAUUGACGCUGAGGCACGAAAGCGUGGGGAUCAAAC